rnacentral:tRNA from 1 species
GUCCCUGUAGCGCAAUGCAUAGUGUGUUGGACUUCUAAUCCAAAGAUCGUGGGUUCGGAUCCCACCUGGGAUA